CCGGCGUCGCCAAUAAGUCUUCAGGGACUCAAUAUUUACACAUAGCAUCCUUGGACUUUCUACGUGUUUGGAAAUAUUUCGUAAGAAUGACUGAACUAUUAUUGCUGUUAUUUCUUGUUGGGAGUUUGGCGAUUUCAAUUCUGCCUGAAGUUGCUGAAGCUCAAUAUGGUGAUUGUUAUCACGGAUACUGUCCACGCGGCACUCGUUUCUGUGGGUACUGUAGCAGAUACCCUGUAAUGAGAAGAUGUUGUCCGGGAUACCCUUACCCAUACCAAUACUAGUACCAAAGGAUUUCGUUAAGUACACUAAAACAACAAUUGACCAGUACCAGUGUUACCAACAAAAAAGCGUCAGCAAAGAACCAAGAUAAAAUAAGCAAUCCAUUCUAAAUUUACAACUUUCUGUUUGUUUUCUUUACGUUUUCUUUCUCUUAUCUUACAAAUAAACACAAAUGAAAUGAAUUUUGAUAAUAAAAGUGAUACAUUA